rnacentral:lncRNA from 9 species
UAGGCCGGUGGCUACCGCUCCAGUUAGACCCCCAGCCUGGGAACCUCCACCUGCCAUGACCCUAAAAAGAACAAACAAACAAACAAAACAGAGAAGGACUACAGACCGCAUCGACUUUAUGGCUCAAACUCAGUUCAUGGCAGGAGUUCUCGAAGAAUUUAACCUGAUGCUCUCACCAUCUGGCAUUUCAUUUAAACCAGGGCCCAGUCACGCGCUGGGAGCCGUUUCUGCAAAGGUGUCUUAAUUCUCUGCUGCCGAUGACAGCCGUGACGCAUCCCUGUCACAUCCAUACUGUAGAGUCUGCUGGACCCAAGGACCCAAGUGACAGGCUCUUGGUUUAGCAGCUUGCCCCUCUUAUUGAGCCCUCUUCUGCUGCAGGCGCCAAAGAGGAGCUGGCGCUUUGUGAGAAGGAUUCCUUGGUGCGGAAUGUGUGGCUUCCAGAGUCCAGAGAGGCGUCCAGGUGCUGCGCUUCCUUCGUUGUGGGAGAGGAUGAAAGAGGCAUUGGUCUGUCUUCGUUUGAAGGGGACAUUCUGGCACAGCCAUGACCACUGGACGCCUAAAACCUUCACUGAGGUGGCAGGUAGGUCCCUGAGCCUUCCUAGGGUGCGUUGCCCACCUCCUGGGGGCACAUGUGUCUUAAGGUCUCUGAUAAACUAGCCACUUCUUGUUUUUCUGACACAGUCACUGUGACUGGUCUGGGGGAUAUUCUGUGGGAUGUUCAGAGGGUUCACAUCUCUUUGGGUUGGUUUGUUUGUUUGGGGGGCUGUGAGGCAUGUAGAAGGUUCCAGGCCAGGGACUGAACCUGUGCCACAGCAGCGAGCUAAGCUGCGGCAGUGAUGAUGCUGGGCUCCUAACCCGCUGUGCCGCAGGAGACGUCCCAGCCCAGUUCUCUCUGUUGUGACUGAAAGCGAGAGAUAAGUGACCCUGGGGAGAAAGUGUAGCUAGCUGUUAUCGUCCGUUCCAUGUGCGCGUGAACUGUUGCUGAUCCUCCCUUCCGCUGAAAUGGAAAAACCACGUUCACGCCAGUGGCUGCGGACACUCUGUAUCCGAGGCCUGGCGAGGCUGCUCUAGCAGGGACGGCGCACCCAGCCCAGCAGCUCCCACGAGGGCUCCUACUUGGAUGAACUGUGGUGGCCUCUGCAGUCACUCUCCAGGGUCCGUCUGGUUGUCCAGGACCCAGACUGGUGAAUUAAAUGGACAUAUAACGGGGCCACCAUCCCUGCAUCCUCUAGGCCGUUCGCGGUGGCAUCAGUCUGCCAGCUUCCUCCCCAUAAGUCGAGCCACUGUUUUCUUUCUAACUUAAUGCAUUGGCAGGAGAGGGUGGGCGCAGUUUCAGAGGCCUCUGCUGAUUUUCUCCAUUAUGGCUGUGCUGGUGGCAGGCCGAGGGCUCAGUGUGGGCGCACUCUGAUUGUCAGCCUGUCAACUCCAGUCAUCCACUCGGGGGGUAGGGGAGUCGAGUGCUGUACUUGGGUGGUGGUGUUGACCCAGGGGACUGCACCUGGGCUUUCGCCGGGACUCUCCGCCUGACCCUGGAAGCCCCCACUCUAACGAGGGUCGCGGUGAGGCACGCUGGCCCUUUGGGUCUUUGUGGGAGUGUCGGCUCAGGCCCUGUGCCGAGCAGUCCUUGCAAUGCCUGGGCGUUGCCUUUCUGCAGUGUACAGUCACCUGGGUAAGUGGCCUGGGCUCCUUCUGGAUUCCUGGAGGAACCCUCAUGCCCUACGUGUGUCACUGGGUCCCGGGACCAGCCUUCUCUUGGUCGGUGGGUUCUGGGUCUCCGGGCUGGCUCAGAGCUGGGGCCUGAGCCAGGCAGCGUGCCUUUCUGCUGAGAUGACCACCCUCUGCUCCUCCGUCUUGGCCUCACUCUAGUUGCGGCUGUUAAGCAGCCCCCCGAGGGCUGUUUGGCGCCCAGGGGCCUCAUGUUCUGUGAACCGUUUUCGCAGCUCCGUGCUGCCCAGGCUCCUUUGGCCGCCCUUCCGACCUUGCAAGCUUAAGGUGCUUAAGGCCUCCUGGCACCUGGGGGUGAUGCUGCACCCCGCGGCCUCCAUUCCCGGGGGCCCAUCAUUUCCAGGCUGUCUCGGAGCCGGCUCUGUGGGCGCCUCUGUAACAUCGGGCCUGCAGGAGAGCCGUCCCUGACUGUCCUUGUGGGGCGGACCUCCUGCUCACCAGGCAGUCAUGCCUUUGGGGGAUGGUGUGUCUGGCAGGCCCACCUCGGCAUGUGUCUUCUGGUGGGUCCCCUGGCCGCAGCGACACCUCCCCCGUGCUCCCACGGCUGGCCUCCACGGAGCCGUAAGUGGCACGUCUCCAUGGCCAGCACCCAUUGCAAACUAAAUGGUCGACCUUCCAACCUCAUCUGUUGUCAGUUCUAGAAGCAACUGUAUGUUUCUGCUCCUCAUGUGACCUCACGUGGUCUUCAGUCAUCGGGUGUCUGAUGCUUAUUCCUUCAUAAGUUCCGUAGGAAGGACUCAUAGGAAUGUUACUCCCUGAGUUCUUCCAUGUUAGAGCCGAGGGCCAGUUUUGCUGGGUCGUAAGUUCUUGGCUCACAUGUUCUCCCUUUGGAUUUCUGAAGUACACGCCUCACUCUGGCAUGAGGCGUUAUGUCAAAAGUCUAGUGAGCACUUUAUUUCUUUUUAAAGUCACAUGCCUUUAUUUAUUUAUUUGUUUGUUUUGGCCUAAAUGCUCAGAGGAGUUUUUCUUUGCUUUAAAGUCGAGUCAUUUUGCUAAGAUACCCCUUGGAGUGGGUUGUCCUGUGUGAGUGAUCUCAGGUGCGUGGUGUGCUCUUCCACGGUGAGGGCCUGGGGUGGUUUUCCUUUCGUUGUGAACAGAACACCCAUCUCGGAGGAAAUAAGGGUUCUGACCCAGAUUAGGCGUUUUGUGGUUUGACUUCAUCCUGGGCAUCGUCUCUGCUGAUAGUCCCUGGCUCUGGGCCUGCGGCCACCCUGCACCGAGGAAAGGUCUUUUCGCAGGCGGUGGGGUAGGUCGGCGUGUCCAGUCCUCUGACCCUUAAAACAACACAGAUUGUGUCAUUCACUUUUCCAUUCAUUUAUCCAACAAAACUUAGCGAGUCUCAGUUAUCUGCCAGCCUCCGCCACAGCCACAGCAGCGCAGGAUCCGAGCCGCUUCUGUGGCCUACAGCACCGCGGCAACGCCGGAUCCUUAACCCACUGAGCGAGGCCAGGGACCAAACCCGAAUCCUCACGGCUAUUGCUGAGCCACAACGGGAACUUCGGAAGAUUUGUUAAAACAGAUUGCUGGCGCUCACUUCAGAGUUUCUGAUUCAGUAGGUCUGUAUUGGAAUUUUCUUAAGAAGUUAUCAGGUGCUGCUGCUGAGAACCACUGGCCUAGGUUCUUUAGCUAAAACCAAAUGGAAUCAUACCGUUGUCCUUUUUGGUGUAUGGUGUUUUUUGUUCAAAAUUAACCUUGUGAAAUUAAUGCUUUUAGAAAAAGUAGCUGAAGUUCAUUUCAACUCUGAGUAGUAUGACUCUGCCGUUGAGUGUGAAGUUAUUUAUCUGUUCUGCUGGUGGCGGUCGUUUGGACUAGUCCCAGUAUUUGGCUGUUAGGAGUGACGGUACUAAGGACAUUCCUUUGGAGUAUUUUGCUGAAAAUGUGCGAACGUUUCUGCUGGAAAUAAACCCGCGGGCGAGGAGCUGCUGGCAGGCAGCGUAUAUCCAGCUCUUUUCCACAGCAGUGGCACCAAUUUUCACUCCUAACAGCAGGGGGCGCGAGUGCGCUCUUUGCGCUGCGUCCUGGACGCCACCUCCCUGCUCCAUCUUUUUAUUUGUAAGCCCUUCUGGCAGGAGUGCAGUGGUUUCUCACUGUGGUCUUCCGUUGCAUUUCCAUGGUGACUGAUGGUACUUCUUAAGUUAUCUGCUACUUGGAUAUCCUUUGGUAUUAAAUAGCCAUUUAAGUUUCUUGCUCAUUUUUGUAUUUAUUUAUCUAUCUUUUUCCUAUUGACUUGUACUAGUUCUUGGUAUAUUCUGGAUAUGACUAUUAGUUGGUAGUAUAUAUUGCAGUAAUUUCUUCCGUUCUGUGGUUUGCCUUUAUUCUGUUAGGCAUAAGUUUUUGAGGUGUGUGUGUGGUGAGAACACCUGAGAGCUACUUUUAAAAGCAAAUUUCCGGCAUGUCGUAGAAUUAACUGUAGGCGUCCUGCUGCACGUCGAUGUCCGGCCUUACGCAUCCUGCGAAACCCUGACUCUGGCCUCUGACCAUCAUCCCCCCCCCCCCCCUCGUCGCUGCCCUUGGCAACUGCCGCUCCACUCGCUUUGUUUUCGGUGUUCAGGCCGCACACGCGUGUGAGCUCCUGCGGUCCUCCUCUCUCCAUGUCUGGUUUAGUUCUCUUCGUCCAGUGCCCUCCAGGCCCACCGGCGUUAACACUCGCAGACGGCAGGAUCCGCUUGCUUCCUCAGGCUGAAUAAACCUCCAUGUUACGCCUGUAUACAGAAGGCGCAGAGCAAGGCAACAAAGGAGAAAUGGAUGUCGGCGUAGGCGAGGAACAAGCAGCAGCAGAGACGUCGACAGCUGAAGAAGAAAAGUUGUAAGUUACUCUCACCGUUCGGAUGCUGUGUGGAGAAGGACUGUGGAUUGAAGCCGCUUCUUUUGGGAGAGACGUGCCUUUGUACCAAGGACCACAGCCAAGAGGCUGGAACGUGCUGGUUUCUCUAAACCAGUGAGGGGUGGGGGGAGGGAAUGGGGCCGGUUUCCCAAAGCACGUGCUCGGGGUGGGGGUGGGGGUGAUCCCUGAGUGAAAUGAGGGGUGAACAUCUCUGCAUCGUUAGGAGGAGAUAAUGGGUGAGGGAUGCUUGAGUGGCGCCUUCACUUUCCAGUGAGCACGGUGUGCUUACGCCCUGCCUUCUCUCGGAGCCGCUGCAGCACAAACAGGUGUAGGCAGGGAACUGAGUUCCCAGUUUCCCAGGAACUCAGUAACCCUCCCUGUGAUGGAUUUGCUUGUUUGGUCGUUAGCACUGACUUCCAAGUCUUUCCAGUGCCUUUCUGCACCGCAUAGUCUGACAAGCCAAAAAACCCCGGCUGCAACAGAACUUCCAGCCUCCCUGGGGCCCUGGAUGUGACUUACAUCCUGCCCGUGAAAUGUACGUGCUCAAGAUUUGAGAAGGCGGACGGAGGCGGAGGCCACUUCCCAACUGUAUCUGGCUUCGUUCGCGUGGGUUUGCUCAUGAUCCAGACUGUGGAGCUAAGUCCAACAGCCAUUUCCAGGUACCGAGAAGCAGUUGCUGUGACGGCAGCGUCUUCAUCUUGAUUCUCGAGGGUUUGAGUAACCCGUUCAAGGUUACGUAGAUAGCAAGUGACCUUUCAAGCUCACCUGCAGGAAUUCGUUCCUCGGGUGCGCCCAGAGUGUGCAGAGGCAGUGGCUUCCCAGGUGGCUUAGGUCUGGGAAUUGCUGCUGAAGGUCCAGCUUAGCGCUCACCCCUCCAGCUCUUCCAAACGUUUUCGAAGUGCUCAGUUUUCUCUGUUAAAUACUUUCACAGCCGUUCCAGUUUCCCGCACUGAAACCUCCUCACAAACAUAAUGAGGGGAACAGCCUUCAGGGAUCUCAUAGAGCCAGUUCGUCUCCCCCAGUCCCGGUUUCUGGGCAUGUGGAUUAAGAGCCAGGAUUCUCCCGACAAGCAGGGGCCAGAGCGUGUGCGCUGGCACAGCUGCAGAAGAGCCCAACAGAGGACGCCAGGACACAGGGCACCAGCCGGGCUUGGCUUCCAGGGGUCCUUCCUCCACCGGUGUGUGGGGAGAGAGCCUCUUUCACGGGGUGCCCGUUCCCCCAGAGCCUGUGCUCCGAACACCACAAACGUCAGCCCAUCCACGACUCAAAACCACUGCAGGGCAGGCGUGGUCACCCUCAGUGGACGUUUGGGACGACGGACUCUGAGCCGGUGACGCGACUCGCCUGAGACGCUCAGAUAACAUCAGGUCUGUCUCACGGUCCACCGUUUACAUGAACGAGUUCUUCUCUUUUUUAAAUGAUGAAAAUAAUCUGUGUUCAUUGUCUGAUCUCUCUCAUCAUCCCGUUGGUGUGGCGGUAGCAGGAGGAAGCAAGGGCUGUGCUUUCUGUGACCGUGUUUACGUCAUUGUCAAGUCCCUGCUGCUUUGAUGACAGAUCCUGCCCAGGUUUUGAUAAAAGAUACAGGAGUU